UAGAUGACCAUGUUUCUUAUCUGUUCAGA
rnacentral:piRNA from 1 species